GUCCUGUUGUAUUAUUUAAUAGGUCUGGCCUGCCCAGUGAUAAUUUUAACGGCCGCGGUAUAUUGACCGUGCAAAGGUAGCAUAAUCAUUAGUCUUUUAAUAGAAGGCUGGAAUGAAAGGUUUAACGAGAAAUUAGCUGUCUCAAUUACAAACUUGAACUUGUCUUUUGAGUCAAAAGACUUAAAUAUAAUUGGUGGACGAGAAGACCCUAUAGAGCUUGACAAUUUUUUCCUUGUAUAUAUUUAGUGACAUUAUUUAUUUAGAUUUAAAAAAUUGUUUUGUUGGGGUGACAAUAAAUAUAUAUUUAACUUUUAUCAUAAUAUACACAUUAAUUUAUGAUUUUUGGAUCCAAAAUUUUUGAUCAAUAGAAUAAGUUACC
rnacentral:rRNA from 1 species